GGGUUUGGGAGAAGGGGGUGGGAUUAUGGACAUUGGGGAGGGUAUGUGAUUUGGUGAGUGCUGUGAAGUGUGUAAACCUGGUGAUUCACAGACCUGUACCCCUGGGGAUAAAAAUAUAUGUUUAUAAAAAAUAAAAAAAUUAAAAAAAAA
rnacentral:lncRNA from 1 species